CUAGGAGGGGCGGGGCCAGGCAACGCCGCACCCACCACCCAUUCCAAGCACGAUAAUUACUCCUUUUCAACCCCCUUAUUUUUACCUUAAUUCUUUACUCACAUUCACAUAAAAUAAUCAGCGUGUACACAACGCCAUAAUAGACCACAUCUGCUAUGCAGCGACAUCCAUAUUAAACGCUGAAAGCAACAAAAAUGCAUAGAAAAUAUUUAGUUGUCCACCUCUGGACAUUCAGGGGGGAAAAAAGAGCAGAGUGGUGAGUGAUGACCGGCUCUCGUUGGCUCAGUCAGUUACCCUUUAGUCGUAGUGUGGGGAGGUGCUGCGCUGACGCCGCUCCUCGUAUAGUGACGACAUAUUGUGGUACGUAGCAGUGAUGAGACGUUGAAGAAGAGCAGUGAAGUCACUGAAAGAGCGAAUCAGUAGUGAACUGUAUCGACUCCUUCCCAGAACCUCGACUUCCGGGCAGACCGUUUGCACCGCCUGCACCACCACCUGCAACAGCUGGUGAUACCUUCAUCACUUGCUAUGAUAAGUGAUAACUGUUAUCUGUCAGGGCCAUGAUAAACACACACACGCGCAUUCAGUGAGAAAAGUUAACUAGGUUUCCCAGUUAUAUUGCUCCUUCCUUAUGAGUAGUUUGACUUGGACCUGCCUAGCAUGGGCCAAUAGGCCUGCUAAAGUGCAGCCUACUAGGCAACACACAUGAGGUAAUAUUCUGUGUGAUAGAUACAUAGUAUUUCCACUAGCUAGCUAGGUUUCCCUGUCAUAUUUCAUCACAUUGGAUGAGUUACAUACACGAGGCAAUGAAAUCAACUUGAGCUGGGAGACUUUAGUGAUGAUAGGAGGAUUAGAACCAUGUUCUCUGAAGGAUGAGUGAGGAUGUUAUAGUUCUGGAGGUGGGAAGUACAGUACCUGCACUCUGAAGGAUGAGUGAUGAUGUUAGUUCUGGAGGUGGGAAGUACAGUACCUGCACUCUGAAGGAUGAGUGAGGAUGUUACAGUUCUGGAGGUGGGAAGUACAGUACCUGCACUCUGAAGGAUGAGUGAGGAUGUUACGGUUCUGGAGGUGGGAAGUACAGUACCUGCACUCUGAAGGAUGAGUGAGGAUGUUACAGUUCUGGAGGUGGGAAGUACAGUACCUGCACUCUGAAGGAUGGAUGAUGUGGUUCAGGUGAUCAUUUAAAUCGUAACAUCCGCAUGCUUCUGCCAAGUCAUCCUGAGAAUGAGUGAUGGUGAAUAUUUCUCUCUUUGAGUCACAAUUUUGGUAUAUUUACUUGAAGAUAUGCACAGGCUGAUAUAUUUCCAUUCAUGCUAUGUUAGAAAAAAAUGGCCCAAGCUUUGUGUAACUUACAUCUAAGUUAUUGAAUAACUACAAGACAAAAUUAGGGUACCUCAUGAAAGAAAGAUUGAGAGAUGAAUGUGCUGUGAGAUAAAUAGAUUAUUGAAUAAGGAAUAAUUUGAUUGCAAACCAUAGAAUUUUAGGUCACACUGACCUGUGAGUUUUAGAAUUCUCUUGCCAUGUGUUCGAGUCCCCAAUCUUUUUGAUUUCACAAGUAAUAAGACUUGAGGGAUGGGUAGGGAUCAGGGGUGAAUCUACUAUGAAUGAAGCUUAAGCUUUAAGGACCCCUAAUCUCAAAGGGGCCCCAGAAGCGACUUUAGCCCACAUUGAGUAAAAAAUUUUGGGUCUAAUGUAUGAUAAGGGGUUGUGAAGGGGCCCCCAUAAGCUCAUGCUUUAGGGCCCCCAUAAGUUCAAGCUUUAGGGCCCCGAAAAUGUAGGUCCACCACUGGUAAGGAUUGAACUCAAGGGUAUGGAAGCUGACACACAAAUGCAGUGUGAAAUGACCCUUUGUUGACAAUGUUUUGCCUGUGCACUGGGUUCCCCCCCCCCCCUUCUCCCGAGUUGCAAAUGUUGAAAAGCUCACUGCUUGGACAAAACGUCAAUAUUGAUCUUUUUAUACUGCAUUUCUGUCUGUGUUUGUCAUGAUGGUAUUUUAUACUCUCUCUCCAAACCAAUGGCACUUUUAAACCCAUGGCAAGACAGCCCUGAAGCCACUUAUAUUCAGAGUAAACCCUGAAGCCACUUAUAUUCAGAGUAAACCCUGAAGCCACUUAUAUUCAGAGUAAACCAGCAGAUGAUCUCACACUGUAGAACUAAUUUUAAUGGCUCUGGGGGAAUAUGUUUGUUAUAGUCACACAAAAAUAACACAAUGUAGAUUUAGUUCCAUAUAACCUACUAGAGCAUAAAACUAAACUUUUGAUAUACAGUAUUUUCAAAUGUCUGAAAAAGUGAAUUUUUUUUAGGCCUGAAAAAAAAAUGGGGCUGGAGCUUGCUUCCUCAGUUCCCAUUGUAAUAGAUCCCUGGCUAUACUUUAUUUAUCCUGACUGCAGCAAUGUAAUAGAUAGUUGGAGUAGAUAACAAGUAGACAAAACCUCGUAAUAAAUGACAUUUAUUGGCCAUUUCUUAUAGACUCCUCUGAAUAGUAUGAUUUUUUGGUUAAUGUGAUUGGAAAGGUACAUCGAAAAUUAAAAGGCUCAUGGAAAGGCCUUCAUAGUACUUGCUGUUAAGUUGUAUAUGCACUUUUUCAGUCGUAUUUAAAAAAAAAAGGUCUUUAUUCUAUGACUUGUAAGAUACAGAUCUUUCCAUUUAAGCAAAUUUUAUACAUUAGAGUGCAUGUAACAAUUGCCUCGCUUGUUAAUAUAUUUUUUUUUCCACAGGCGAGGGAUUUCGGUAAUAAGGCAUGAAGGAAGAAGCCAGGUGCCCAGACUUCCAGAGAGCCUGUCCUCCAUUCCCUGAGACCCUUUCUUGUGAAGGAAGGAAUUCACAAGCAAGGUGCUCAGGCAUGGGUGGCAGUGCUGCUUCCUCAGUGGGCCUUAAUCCUGAGCACUUAGCACAACUCCAGGUUAUCCUGGAUACUGGUCGACUCCACAAAGUUGACCCCAAACCGCCAGGAAACCGGUUAAUGCCACGAGGACCACCACAAAUUAUCCAGGACACAAGUUAACUCCACGAGGACCUCAUGUCAUCCAGGAUGCAAGUUAACUUUGCAAGGACAAGCAAGGGCCCUGAAGGAUAUAUGUUAACCUCGCAUAACAUUCCUCCUCCAUCUUGAAUACAGAAUGUCGGGGUUGCAAAUAACAAUGCAACUUCCUCUACUAGACUCCAUCCAUGUAUAUAUUUUAUCUGUCUGUUGAGUGUUGACUCUGUACAUUUAGCUUAAUCUAGGUUGGGUUAAUUUAAAAUAAUUCAAUGUUUGGUGGUAUUAUUUAUAUUGUACAAAAAUCUGCACUGUAUACUAUAGUUUGUUGAAGGGUAAUGCUGAGAUUUUAAUUAAUGGGGGAAUCCUAAACCUCUGUUGGGGGAUAAUUAGGCUUGAUCCAAGGAAUGAGAGGGUUAGGUCCAAGUCCUUGAAUCAAGAGGCUUUCGGUAUCCGGUAUCCCACCUUUGAAUUGAAGGUAGAUUCUCUUCAAUGAUUUCUUAUGCAAUGGAUUAAUUUGGCAUUCUUCUCUGAACUUUUUCUAAUGAAUUUAUAUCCAUUCUAGAGUAUAGAGACCAGAACUGAGCUGCAUGAUCUAAGUGAAGCUUUACCAAUACAUCGAGUUGUUGUAUAACCUCAAGGUUUUUAUGGAUUUAUUUUUUACCUGUUGAUGGUACAUCAUCAAAAGGCUCCUUGGAUCAAGAGCCCCUAAUUUUUUUGCUCUCUCUAAUAGCUGUAUGUCUUAGACAUACCUGACAGAGUUGAGACAAAUAUCCCACAGUUGAUAAGAGAUGCUAAAGAUGUUUACUGAGACUGGCCUGUGAACCAGACUUGUUCACUCCACCUUAGUUUAUCCACAGACAAAAUGUCUUAAGUUUUUCUUUGAAGGCUGCUUGUCACAGCAGACCACUACUUCUGGAGAAGCUCACUGUACCUCUAGAAAGUCUUCACCCAUGGAAGCACUCUCUGAGGACGGAUAUUAAAAUAUAUUCAUUC